CCGGGCUAUCAAUCUUCACACUCGUGCAGGGCGCACGACGCAGCCCAGCUCGCCCCCGACGCGCAGACCUAGUCACGCCCCGACUCCCCAUCCCUUGCUCGCCCGUGCUCUCCCGCCGCUCGCCCGUGCCCUCCGGCCUCCGCUGUUCAUGACGGCCGCUGGUGACUCCGUCGUGCCCUCCGCCGCUCAUCCGCCUGGCCUGCUCCGUUGCUCGCGCCGUCGCCUGUCCCGCCGUCCGGUCGUCCCCUGCUCGCCUGCUGCCCUGCUCCGCCGCUCGCGCAGCUCAGCUCGUCGUCUCGCCCGAUCUGCUAGCUCCUGCUCUCCACCACACGCAUGACUGAUCUCUGCUACCCAGGAUUGAAAUAAAAGAUGAAGAGAUAUUUUUCAUCCGUGUCCGAAAUAGAAGUGUCUACACCCAGAGUUUUAGUAUGGAAUCAAGGGGCCGAGAGGACUGAAGCAACUCCAGAAAAUGAAACAACUACAGAAAUGGGACCACCGCCUUCAAUCCCAGCUCGAGAAAGCAACGUUUUUGUUAUUCCCGAUUCUUCUCGUGGUCAACUGAGGGAAGAAGGUGAUAUUCAACCUGAUCCUGAUCUUAGGAAACCUAUUGAAAGCUUAGGUCCGGACAUUAUAGAUGUUGCUAGAAGGAUGUUUGUAAAUAUGGGUCAAUGCCAACCAAGUGGUCAUAAAUUUAAAAAAGAAACUAGAGGAAAUUCUUUGAAAAGGAGAUCCUUUCAAGCUAAAUGGUUCAAGAAGCAUUCUGAUUGGUUAGAAUAUAGUGUUGCUAAGGAGGCGGCCUUUUGUUUCUAUUGCUUUCUUUUUAAGCAACCCAUUGUAGAAAACUAUGGUGUUGAGGCAUUCACAACAGUAGGGUUUAAAAAUUGGAAGGAUGGACUUAGUAUUAUUGAUACACAUGUUGGUAAACAUGAUAGUGCUCACAAUAAAGCUAGACAACAAUAUGUGGCUUUCAAAAAUCAAAGGCAAACUGUAAAUGUGGUGGAUCAUGGCACCAUAAAGACACUAAUGAAGCAAGCCAUUGAUUUGGUACUCUUUUU